GACGAAGGGGGCUAGCGUUGCUCGGAAUCACUGGGCGUAAAGGGUGCGUAGGCGGGUCUUUAAGUCAGGGGUGAAAUCCUGGAGCUCAACUCCAGAACUGCCUUUGAUACUGAAGAUCUUGAGUUCGGGAGAGGUGAGUGGAACUGCGAGUGUAGAGGUGAAAUUCGUAGAUAUUCGCAAGAACACCAGUGGCGAAGGCGGCUCACUGGCCCGAUACUGACGCUGAGGCACGAAAGCGUGGGUAGCAAACAGG
rnacentral:rRNA from 1 species